CACGUAGGGCGCAAGCGUUGUCCGGAAUUAUUGGGCGUAAAGAGCUCGUAGGCGGUCUGUUGCGUCUGCUGUGAAAACCCGGGGCUUAACCCCUGGCUUGCAGUGGAUACGGGUAGACUAGAGGCAGGUAGGGGAGAAUGGAAUUCCCGGUGUAGCGGUGAAAUGCGCAGAUAUCGGGAGGAACACCGGUGGCGAAGGCGGUUCUCUGGGCCUGACCUGACGCUGAGGAGCGAAAGCGUGGGGAGCGAACAGG
rnacentral:rRNA from 1 species